AACACGGACCACGAGAAGGACUCGCGCGAAAGCAGCGAGUCCGCGCGAGGGGUCCGAGCUCGAAGUCACCGCGGUAGCAAUGCCAAGGUCGCAUCGAGUGAACGGACGCCCGCGGGAAUCGUUGGCUAGGUAACUGGCCAACAUCCUCGUCACAUGACUUCGACCCCGAGAGGGGCGAGGCAUGAAUGACACCCAAAAAGUCCCGGCAUGACCGGGCAAGCAAGAAUCAAACUGGAGAGUUUGAUCCUGGCUCAGAGCGAACGUUUGCGGCGGGCUUAACACAUGCAAGUCGAACGAGAAUCCCUUCGGGGAGGAAAGUGGCGCACGGGUGCGUAACACGUGGAUGACCUACCCCUUGGUUCGGGACAACAGCGGGAAACUGCUGCUAAUACCGGAUGUGUCGUAGCAAUACGAGAAAGGCCCGCAAGGGUCGCCAGAGGACGGGUCCGCGUCCCAUCAGCUAGUUGGUGAGGUAAUGGCUCACCAAGGCGAAGACGGGUAGCUGGUCUGAG
rnacentral:rRNA from 1 species